CAGUCUUUAUUAAUCCCAAGCAGGAAGCGACCAGACACACACGUUGCUGAGCUGGGAAAUGUUUGUUGCUACGAGGAGCCGCCUACCCGUCGAAACUGUCCGAGAAAAGCGUCUAACUAGUUGUCGUUUUGCUGUGGAAUCGGCCGCUUAUGAUGGCGAGCUAAGCCCGAGCCUGAACCCGGUUAAAUGCUGGAGCCUUCCGAAGGACGUUUCCCAUCCUGUCCAUGCUGGUAGGAGGCUCCUGUAGCCUACAGACUCUACUGACAACAAACCAUAAACCAGAGCUCUUCUCACAUUCACUCUUCUGCUGCAAACCGUGCUUCAGGAUUCUUCCACCAGAACCUUUUGGUCUGGGCACUCCAGGCCAACAACCACUUGAACUUUUUAUAUGAUCACUGAACUUUGUCACUGUAAAUAUUGGGUUUCUUUGUAUGGCCAUAUUGUCUGUCUAUGUUUUUCGUAUUGUCUAUAUAAAUACUGAGUCAAAAGCAAA